CCUACGGGUGGCAGCAGUGAGGAAUAUUGGUCAAUGGGCGCGAGCCUGAACCAGCCAAGUAGCGUGAAGGAUGACUGCCCUACGGGUUGUAAACUUCUUUUAUAAAGGAAUAAAGUGAGGCCCGUGUGCCUUUUUGUAUGUACUUUAUCAAUACGGAUCGGCUAACUCCGUGCCAGCAGCCGCGGUAAUACGGAGGAUCCGAGCGUUAUCCGGAUUUAUUGGGUUUAAAGGGAGCGUAGAUGGGUUGUUAAGUCCGUUGUGAAAGUUUGCGGCUCAACCGUAAAAUUGCAAUUGAUACUGGCAGUCUGGAGUACAGGUGAGGUAGGCGGAAUUCGUGGUGUAGCGGUGAAAUGCGUAGAUAUCACGAAGAACUCCGAUGGCGAAGGCAGCUUACUAAACUGCAACUGACGUUGAGGCUCGAAAGUGUGGGUAUCAAACAGGAUUAGAUACCCCGGUAGUC
rnacentral:rRNA from 1 species